AUCCUUCAAACCUUCCCCCUCAGUACUCCGUGUGGGAGGAGGGAGGGGCGACUGCUACAGGCACAUUGUUGAUGUCCUCCCUUCUCCUGGCGAUCCCACUCCUCACCCUUUCCUCUCCAGCUGCUGCGGUCUCCAUCGCCGAGGUGGGUCCCAGGACCUAAGCCGCGCCGCACAAGGGUCAAGUCCGGCGGCCUGCUCCCUCCUACCUGGCCUCUGCUAGCCACGACUCCCCACCCGCAGCCUUCCUAGACCCCUCACCUGCACGGUCUCCUGCGAGGCCAACAGCUCCUGCUCCUUUUCAGCGAUCUGGAGGACGAAGCUCGGGUCGCCCUGCAACGCCUGGUUAUACGCCGGAGGCCGAGGCGCCGGCGGCCGUACCCCGCUGGGGUGGGAAGCAGCUUAGCGGAGGCUUGGACCUCGGGCCCUACACUCACCCUUCCAGUGCCCUCGACCAGGCCUUCCCUUCUCCCCCUCUAGCCCCUUUCGUGCCUCAAGCUCAGCCUACCCUGCCCCCCAACCCCAGCUGUGUGCAGAGAUCACCAGCCUGAUGAAGUCGGGAACUCCCAGCUUCUUUACCUGAGCUGACCCUCUCCCUGGGGGUCCAGGGCACCUUCACCUCGGGCCUUCUGGGAUAAACCUGAGACAAGGCAAGUGGAGGAAUGACUGUGCUGGAGUCUCACUUUCCUGCUUCCCUGGCCCCAGUUCCACUCUCACAAGCGACAGGAAGAAGGACAGAAGGAAAGCUCCACUGGGGAGGAAGAAAUGGAAAAGGCCACCUUACCCACAUCCAUGUAGCCACUGCCAUCCUGGGGAGCCAGCUCCUGAAAGAACCCCGGGGUCCGCUGUGAGCCCAGGCUCAGUCAUCCCCAAGGAGCCCUAUGUCCCUUCCACCGGCCCCCAGGCCAGACUCUAUUAGCCAAGCACCCCUCCCCCACACUUAUCACCCAGGCUGGCCUUUCUGUGGUCCGGGGAGUGCCCCCCACCCAGCCCCCAGAGCAGUGGGAGAAGCUCGAGCGGGGUGGCACCUGUAAGGAGCCAGUGCCCUGCUUCCUGCGCCUCUGCCUCUCCUCCAGGCGCUGCCUCAGCGGUAUAAGCACCAGCUCCACCACACCUGGGGCGCACUCUGCGAUCUUGCGCAUCACGUCAUCCGGUACUGAAAAGUUCAGCCUCUUCAGCACCUUCCUGAGGGGUAGACACAGGGAUAGCGGAUUGGGUCCUGGGGAAAUGAAGCGAGGGGACGGGGGAGAGGGAAGGGGGCAUGGUGGUUGCAGUUCUGAGUGCACAGCCCUGGGGGAGUGGAAGGGCAUUGCAUCUGAGCUUCCUUGUGUGGGUGUACCGAGGUUCCUUGCCUCCUUCCGAAUAGAAUAGUCUUUUCAUUUUGUAA